rnacentral:rRNA from 1 species
AGUGAACGCUGGCGGUAGGCCUAACACGUGCAAGUCGAACGGCAGCACAGUAAGAGCUUGCUCUUACGGGUGGCGAGUGGCGGACGGGUGAGGAAUACAUCGGAAUCUACUUUUUCGUGGGGGAUAACGUAGGGAAACUUACGCUAAUACCGCAUACGACCUACGGGUGAGAGCAGGGGAUCUUCGGACCUUGCGCGAUUGAAUGAGCCGAUGUCGGAUUAGCUAGUUGGCGGGGUAAAGGCCCACCAAGGCGACGAUCCGUAGCUGGUCUGAGAGGAUGAUCAGCCACACUGGAACUGAGACACGGUCCAGACUCCUACGGGAGGCAGCAGUGGGGAAUAUUGGACAAUGGGCGCAAGCCUGAUCCAGCCAUACCGCGUGGGUGAAGAAGGCCUUCGGGUUGUAAAGCCCUUUUGUUGGGAAAGAAAAGCAGCAGGUUAAUACCCCGCUGUUCUGACGGUACCCAAAGAAUAAGCACCGGCUAACUUCGUG